GUGCGUCGUAGUCCGGAUUGGAGUCUGCAACUCGACUCCAUGAAGUCGGAAUCGCUAGUAAUCGUGGAUCAGAAUGCCACGGUGAAUACGUUCCCGGGCCUUGUACACACCGCCCGUCACACCAUGGGAGUGGGUUGCAAAAGAAGUAGGUAGCUUAACCUUCGGGAGGGCGCUUACCACUUUGUGAUUCAUGACUGGGGUGAAGUCGUAACAAGGUAACCGUAGGGGAACCUGCGGUUGGAUCACCUCCUU
rnacentral:rRNA from 2 species